rnacentral:tRNA from 1 species
GCCGGUGUAGCUCAACGGUAGAGCACCUGUUUUGUAAACAGGCGGUUGCGGGUUCAAAUCCAGUCACCGGCUCCA